UACGUAGGGUGCAAGCGUUGUCCGGAAUUAUUGGGCGUAAAGAGCUCGUAGGCGGUCUGUCACGUCGGCUGUGAAAACCCGAGGCUCAACCUCGGGCCUGCAGUCGAUACGGGCAAACUAGAGUACUGCAGGGGAGACUGGAAUUCCUGGUGUAGCGGUGAAAUGCGCAGAUAUCAGGAGGAACACCGGUGGCGAAGGCGGGUCUCUGGGCAGUGAACAUGACGCUGGAGGAGCGAAAGCGUGGGGAGCGAACAGGA
rnacentral:rRNA from 1 species